rnacentral:ribozyme from 13 species
GAGGGAAAGAAAGCAAUAAAAUGAAUGCAGAAAAAGAAACGGUUAUUUCCACACUUCCAUAUUUGGUUGAUUCGACGGGUUCGAAUCGCAUUUUUUUUUUCUUUUUUUUUUUU